rnacentral:rRNA from 1 species
CGUCAAAUCAUCAUGCCCCUUAUGGCCUGGGCUACACACGUGCUACAAUGGCGGCAACAAAGGGAUGCGACCCCGCGAGGGUGAGCGAACCCCAGAAAAGCCGCCCCAGUUCGGAUUGUAGUCUGCAACCCGACUACAUGAAGCCGGAAUCGCUAGUAAUCGCGAAUCAGAAUGUCGCGGUGAAUACGUUCCCGGGUCUU